rfam:Stenotrophomonas maltophilia SKK35, WGS project CALN01000000 data, contig: 305
GGGCUGUUAGCUCAGUUGGUAGAGCAGUUGACUCUUAAUCAAUAGGUCCAAGGUUCGAAUCCUUGACAGCCCA